rnacentral:lncRNA from 1 species
AAUUGAAUAUGUAACAAAAUUUAAAGCAUAAAUCAUAUAAAAACAAAAACAGAAUAUAAAGGAUUGAAUUAAAAUAAAAUGGAAAAGUGUAUCGCCUCAAAGGGAAAUUAUCCCAACCUCACGUCAUUUCCUUGGCUCAAUAGUGGGUCAAAGGACUGGCUUGCAAGGAAAUUAAAAUUAUAGGGUAAAAUUCAAAAAAUAAAAAGAAAGGAACAUGACGAAAUUAAAAAAAGCAAAAAAAGCAGAAGGA